rnacentral:tRNA from 1 species
GACCGCGUAGCUCAGUUGGCAGAGCAUUGGGCUAGUAUUCCAAAGGUCGUAGGUUUGAUUCCCACCGUGGUCA